rnacentral:rRNA from 1 species
CCUACGGGAGGCAGCAGUGAGGAAUAUUGGUCAAUGGACGAGAGUCUGAACCAGCCAAGUAGCGUGAAGGAUGACUGCCCUAUGGGUUGUAAACUUCUUUUAUCUGGGAAUAAAAUGUUCCACGUGUGGGAUUUUGUAUGUACCAUAUGAAUAAGGAUCGGCUAACUCCGUGCCAGCAGCCGCGGUAAUACGGAGGAUUCGAGCGUUAUCCGGAUUUAUUGGGUUUAAAGGGAGCGUAGGUGGAUUUUUAAGUCAGUUGUGAAAGUUUGCGGCUCAACCGUAAAAUUGCAGUUGAAACUGGCAGUCUUGAGUACAGUAGAGGUGGGCGGAAUGCGUGGUGUAGCGGUGAAAUGCUUAGAUAUCACGAAGAACUCCGAUUGCGAAGGCAGUUCACUGGACUGCAACUGACACUGAGGCUCGAAAGUGUGGGUAUCAAACAGGAUUAGAUACCCUUGUAGUC